rnacentral:rRNA from 1 species
GACGAACGCUGGCGGCGUGCUUAACACAUGCAAGUCGAACGGAAAGGCCCUGCUUUUGUGGGGUGCUCGAGUGGCGAACGGGUGAGUAACACGUGAGUAACCUGCCCUUGACUUUGGGAUAACUUCAGGAAACUGGGGCUAAUACCGGAUAGGAGCUCCUGCUGCAUGGUGGGGGUUGGAAAGUUUCGGCGGUUGGGGAUGGACUCGCGGCUUAUCAGCUUGUUGGUGGGGUAGUGGCUUACCAAGGCUUUGACGGGUAGCCGGCCUGAGAGGGUGACCGGCCACAUUGUGACUUAGAUACGGCCCAUACUCCUACGGGAGGCAGCAGUGGGGAAUAUUGCACAAUGGGCGGAAGCCUGAUGCAGCAACGCCGCGUGCGGGAUGACGGCCUUCGGGUUGUAAACCGCUUUCGCCUGUGACGAAGCGUGAGUGACGGUAAUGGGUAAAGAAGCACCGGCUAACUACGUG